CGUACACAAAAGCGCAUGUGCUGUGAGCUCGAUGAGUAGGGCGGGACACGUGGUAUCCUGUCUGAAUAUGGGGGGACCAUCCUCCAAGGCUAAAUACUCCUGACUGACCGAUAGUGAACCAGUACCGUGAGGGAAAGGCGAAAAGAACCCCGGCGAGGGGAGUGAAAAAGAACCUGAAACCGUGUACGUACAAGCAGUGGGAGCCCCACCACUAAGCCAGUGGUGAACUCCACAUACGCAUCCUUUGCUGAAGGUGCGGUUAACGGAGCGCAAGCGACGCCCAACACACAAAACAAGCGGUGAGUGCUUUGGGGUGGGGUGACUGCGUACCUUUUGUAUAAUGGGUCAGCGACUUAUAUUCUGUAGCAAGGUUAACCGUAUAGGGGAGCCGGAGGGAAA
rnacentral:rRNA from 1 species